rnacentral:misc_RNA from 1 species
UCUGGUAAUUGGAGCACGACCCCCAUUCUUUUCUUGGCAGAAUUGAAAGGUUCCACUUUGACUAGAUUGACCUCCUGACGCUCUGCCCUAAAAUCACCACCCAGUGACAAACCAAACUCCAACAGAGCAGCCUCAGUAGGUGUUCCUAAGAUUUCACGCUUCCCAUCUUGGUUUAUCACAAUUUCUCCACUGCUGUUAUUGAAUAUGGACUGAAGAAGUAUUUUAACUGCAGCAUCUGGAAUUUCAGAGCACAUAGUAGCAGCCUUUUCAGAACUGCUUACUUCACUGAUAUUUCCACCAACACAAGCUUUAACAACGGUCAUGUGAUUGGUG